rfam:Ictidomys tridecemlineatus contig115395, whole genome shotgun sequence.
GGGGAUAUAGCUCAGUUGGUAGAGUGUUUGCCUCCCAUACAAGGUCCUGGGUUCAAUCCCCAGCACCACCA